AUAAUCUCACAGGUCACAAGCAGAAGGUAAAGAAAUGCAUAGCCGCCAGUCCCUCCUACUUGCUCUCUCCCCCCUCGGUAUGGACCAUAUGGUAUAUUCCUGAAAGCCCAAUGGUGUAGGAGAGGAACGAGGUGAUUGGCUGGGAAUCUUGGAAGGGGAGAGAAGCUACACAAAAGGGCCAACGGGAUAACACCAGGGGCAUAUCAAAGCCGGCCAGACCCGCGACGGGAGGACAUCCUUAAAGGGGACUUGUUUGUUGCCCUCAGAAGCUGCCACAAAAACAAAGCUAGAAUUUUCUUCCUGAUCUUAUCCAGAUGAGACAAAGUAGGGAAGUCUCCGACUUAGGGGGUAGUAGCUAUCGAAAACUUCUGAGAAUUGGGUCUAUAUGUCCAUGUGACUUUGAAUGGAUAACUCCAACUCUCUGCCUCAGUUUCCUUUUUCAAUCCGAUGAGGUUAUUAGACCACGCUUGACCUCUAGAAAGCCUUCCUCGUCUUUUUCGAGAGAUUAAUCUCUUCAGUUCCGGGCAUCUUAAGGAACUGUGGUUGAAAGCAGGGUGUGGAGAUCAUCCUACGUCUGCGUCUCCCAGAGUCAGAAGAAGCCUCAGUUAAUUUCUUCACUGAACUGCCGGACUGUGCAGGAUUCCAGUCUUCAACAAAUCCCACGGGCUGAAUAAGUCUGUUCCUGGCUGAAGUCUGUACAAACCACUCAACUAUGCAGGGGUCCCCUUGCUUUUUGUUUUUUGGUUUUUGUUUUUUGUUUUUUUUUCCCCUUCAGUCACCUUCCAUGUCUAGCUGAAGAUCAACAAACGUCUCUAAAGGCCUGGUCAUCUUCCCCUUAGUCCAGGAAGCCAGACUGGUUCAGACAAAUUCCACUCCGUUUGCACGGAGUGUUGUGUGGCGCUGGAGGGCACGCGUGAAGGUCAGAGGACAACUUUUAGGAAUCAGUUCUCUCCCGCCACGGGUUCUGGGAAAUCAAAUUCACAGGCCCUCCCUCUACUUUCAGAAAAUUUCAGCUUGCACUCCUUGGCUUCCAAACCGUAAGAUAUUCCGGAUGCUUUUCCUGAGAGUUCCUCUUGUAGCCAGACAACCCAUCUUCCAAGCUAUUGUCCAGGGACACGGAGAAAGUUCGAAUCUGCUAUGGAGCUCUUCUAACCUGUAGCUAUUGACAACGGAGAGCUCCCAUUUCUACCUUGUGCCCCUGUGACCCUAAAUUUCUGUACUUUAUGCCCCUACAUGCACUCCUCUCUGUCCCCAGGAUCCAGCAGCAGCUGCUGUCCGUGCUUAUGAACUGUUAUGAUUUAGAUAAGUAGUGUCCUUCAGAAAGGCUCAUGGGUUUGAUGCUCGGCCCCCAGCUGGCUUGCUAUUUUGGGAGGUGCUGGAAACUUUAGGAGGUGGGGCCUGACGGGCUGAAGUAGGUCAUUAGGAGUUAUCUUGUCCCCUGGCCUCUUCCUGACUGUCCUUCUGCUUCCUAUCCUCCACGAGGUCCGAGGCUUCCUACUGCCAUGCUGUUCCUGCCGGAUUCCUGUUGCUGGGGCCCCAAGUCAACAGAGCCGGGAACCGAAGAUGGAAAUCACGAAUUAAAAGAAUUCCUCCCUUAAA